ACGGGCACCUAGCCCAGCUACGCGACGGUGUAGCCCAUCGGCAGCAGGACACUCUUUUGCUGGGUGAAGGGUUCGACACCCUCGGGCCCGUUC
rnacentral:tRNA from 1 species